AGAUUGAACGCUGGCGGCAUGCCUUACACAUGCAAGUCGAACGGCAGCACGGGAGCAAUCCUGGUGGCGAGUGGCGAACGGGUGAGUAAUACAUCGGAACGUGCCCAAUCGUGGGGGAUAACGCAGCGAAAGCUGUGCUAAUACCGCAUAAGAUCUACGGAUGAAAGCAGGGGAUCGCAAGACCUUGCGCGAAUGGAGCGGCCGAUGGCAGAUUAGGUAGUUGGUGAGGUAAAGGCUCACCAAGCCUUCGAUCUGUAGCUGGUCUGAGAGGACGACCAGCCACACUGGGACUGAGACACGGCCCAGACUCCUACGGGAGGCAGCAGUGGGGAAUUUUGGACAAUGGGCGAAAGCCUGAUCCAGCCAUGCCGCGUGCAGGAUGAAGGCCUGGUUGUAACUGCUUUGUACGAACGAAAGUACGUUCUUUACUAAGUAAAGAAGGAGUACAUAGACGGUAACCGUAAGAAAGUAAGACACCGGACUAACUACGUACG
rnacentral:rRNA from 1 species